rnacentral:ncRNA from 1 species
AAUAGAUAAUAAAUAAUUAUGUUUAAAAAAAUUUAUUGAAAGUUUAUUUUAUAUAUAAAUUUUAGUGUUAAUUUUUUAUUAUUUUAAUAAUAAUAAUUUAAAAAUUGUAGUAAAUAAAAUUAAAAAUUUAAGAAAUUAAGAUUUAGUAAUACAAAAAUUAAUAACAAAUUUUGUGCCAGCAGUUGCGGUUAUACAAAAGUUAAAUUAAAUUAUUUCAGUUUAUAAAUAAUAAAUUUAAAUUAAAAUAAAUAUUGAAUUAUAAGGUGAAAUUUUAAUUCAAUUAAAUUUUAUAUAAAAAUUAUGUUUUAAUAAAUUUUAUUUUAAACUAGGAUUAGAUACCCUAUUAUUAAAAAUUUAAAUUAUAAUACUAAAAUAGUAAAUAAUUAUUUAUUGAAACUUAAAUAAUAUGGCGGUAUUUUAGUUCAUUUAGAGGAAUCUGUUUAAUAAUUGAUAAUCCACGAAUAAAUUUACUUAAUUUAAUAUUUUAUAUAUCGUUGUUAAAAAAUAUUUUUUAUAAAAAAUAAUAUUUAAAAAUUUAAAUAAAAAAUUAAUUCAGAUCAAGAUGUAGAUUAUAAUUAAGAAUAUAAUGGAUUACAAUAAAAUUAUUUAAAUGAAUAUGAAAUUGAAAAAUUUUAUUGAAGGUGGAUUUAAAUGUAAUUUUAUUUAAUUUAAUAAAAUGAUUAAAAAUUAAAAUAUGUACAUAUUGCCCGUCACUUUCAUUUAAAAAUUGAAAUAAGUCGUAACAAAGUAGAGGUACUGGAAAGUGUUUCUAGAAAGAA